GUUUAGAAAUUUUAGAAAUUAAUCCCUUGUCAGUCAACUCACUUGCAAAGAUUUUCUCCCAUUCUUUCGGUUGUCUUUCCUUUUUGUUUAGGGUUUCCUUUGCUGUGCAGAAAUAUUUAUGUUUAAUUAGGUACCAUUUGUUUAUUUUUCUUUUUACUGUCAUUCCUCUAAGAGGUGGAUCUGAGAAGAUGUUGCUGUCGUUUAUGUCAGAGAGUGUUUGGCCUAUGUUUUCCUCUAAGAGUUUUAUAGUGUCCGGUCUUAUACCUAGGUCUUUAAUCCAUUUGGAGUUUAUUUGUGCGUGUGGUGUUAAGGAGUGUUCUAAUUUCAUUCUUUCCAUGUGGCUGUCCAGUUUUUCCAGCACCACUUAUUGAAGGGGCUGUCUUUUCUCCAUUGUAUAUUCUUGCCUCCUUUGUCAUAGAUGAGUUGGCUUUAGGGGCGUAGGUUUAAUUCUGGGCUUUCUAUCCUGUUCCACUGAUCUAUAUUUCUGUCUUUGUGCCAGUACCAUAUGGUUUUGAUGACUGUUGCUUUGUAGUAUAGUCUGAGGUCAGGGAGCCUGAUUCCUCCAGCUCCAUUUUUAUUUUUCAGGCUGUCUUUGGCUAUUCUGGGUCUUUUGUGUUUUUAAACAAAUUUUAAAAUAUUUUGUUCGAGUUCUGUGAAAGAUGUCCUUGGUAAUUUGAUAGGGAUUUCACUGAAUUUGUAGGUUGCCUUAGGUAGCAUAGUCAUUUUGAUAAUAUUAACUCUUCCAAUCCAAGAGUAUGGUAUGUCUUUCCAUCUAUUUCUGUCAUCUUUGAUUUCUUCCAUCAGUGUCUUAUGGUUUUCAGAGUACAGGUCUUUUGUCUCUGUAGGUAGGUUUACUCCUAGGUAUUUUAUUCUUUUGGAUGCAAUGAUAAAUGGGAUUGCUUCCCUAAUUUCUCUUUCUGAUCCUUCAUUGUUAGUGUAUAGAAAUGCUGUCAGUUUCUGUGCAUUAAUUUUGUAUCCUGCGACUUUGCCAAAUUCAUGGAUGAGCUCUAACAGUUUUCUGAUAGAGCCUUAGGAUUCUCUAGGUAUAGUAUCAUGUCAUCUACAAAUAGUGAUAGUUUUACUUUUUCCUUUCCAAUUUGGAUUCCCUUUAUUUCUUUUACUCCUCUGAUUGCCUAGGCUAGGACUUCCAAAACUAUGUUGAAGAGUAGUGGUGAGAGCAGACAUCGUCUUGUUCCUGAUCUCAGCGGGAAUUCUUUCAGCUUUUCACCAUUGAGAAUGAUGUUCGCUCUGGGUUUGUCACAUAUGGCCUUUAUGAUGUUGAGGUAGGUUCCAUCUAUGCCCACUUUCUGAAGAGUUUUUAUCAGAAAUGGGUGUUGGACUUUGUCAAAGGCUUUUUCUGCAUCUAUUGAGAGGAUCAUAUGGUUUUAUUCUUCAGUUUGUUAAUGUGGUGUCAUCAUACUGAUCAAUUUGUGCAUAUCGAAGAAUCCUUGCAUGCUUGGGAUAAAUCCCACUUGAUCAUGAUCAAGUGGGAUUUAUCCCAAGCAUGCAAGGAUUCUUCAAUAUGCGCAAAUUGAUCAGUGUGAUACACCACAUUAACAAACUGAAGAAUAAAACCAUAUGAUCCUCUCAAUAGAUGCAGAAAAAGCCUUUGACAAAGUCCAACACCCAUUUCUGAUAAAAACUCUUCAGAAAGUGGGCAUAGAUGGAACCUACCUCAACAUCAUAAAGGCCAUAUGUGACAAACCCAGAGCGAACAUCAUUCUCAAUGGUGAAAAGCUGAAAGAAUUCCCGCUGAGAUCAGGAACAAGACAAGGAUGUCCACUCUCACCACUACUCUUCAACAUAGUUUUGGAAGUCCUAGCCUAGGCAAUCAGAGGAGUAAAAGAAAUAAAAGGAAUCCAAAUUGGAAAGGAAAAAGUAAAACUAUCACUAUUUGUAGAUGACAUGAUACUAUACCUAGAGAAUCCUAAGGCUCUAUCAGAAAACUGUUAGAGCUCAUCCAUGAAUUUGGCAAAGUCUCAGGAUACAAAAUUAGCACACAGAAAUCAACUGCAUUUCUACAUACUAACAAUGAAGGAUCAGAAAGAGAAAUUAGGGAAGCAAUCCCAUUUACCAUUGCAUCUAAAAGAAUACUUAGGAAUAAAUCUACUUAAAGAGUCAAAAGAUUUGUACUCUGAAAACUGUAAGAUGCUGAUGAAAGAAAUCACAGAUGAUGCAAACAUGGAAAGACAUACCAUGCUCUUGGAUUGGAAUAAUCAAUAUCAUCAAAAUGACUAUACUACCCAAGGCAACAUACAAAUUCAAUGCAAUCCCUAUCAAAUAACCAAGGACAUUUCACACAGAACUAGAACAAAAUAUUUAUAAAGUUUGUUUGGAAGCACAAAAGACCCAGAAUAAUCAAAGCAAUUCUGAGAAAGAAAAUUGGAGCUGGAGGAAUCAGGCUCCCUGACUUCAGACUAUACUACAAAGCUAUAGUCAUCACAACCACACAAAGACAGAAAUAUAGACCAGUGGAACAGGAUAGAAAACUCAGAAUUAAACCCAUGCACCUAUCGUUAAGUAAUCUAUGUCAAAGGAGGUAAGAAUAUACAGUGGAGAAAAGACAGUCCCUUCAAUAAGAGGUGCUGGGAAAACUGGACAGCCACAUGUAAAAGAAUGAAAUUAGAAUACUUCCUAACACCAUACACAAAAAUAAACUCAAAAUGGAUUAAAGACCUAAACAUAAGACCAGAUACUAUAAAACUCUUAGAGGAAAACAUAGGUCACUCUCUGACGUAAACCACAGCAACAUUUCCUCAGAUUCACCUCCUAGAGUAAUGACAAUAAAAACAAAAAUAUAUGGGACUUAAUUAAACUUAAAGUUUCUGCACAGCAAAGGAAACCCUAAACAACAUAGAAAGACAACCCACAGAAUGGGAGAAACUAUUUGCCAAUGAAGUGACUGACAAGGGCUAAAUUUCCAAAAUUUAUAAACACCUUCUCUAGCUCAAUACUAAAAAAACAAA
ensembl:lncRNA